rnacentral:lncRNA from 1 species
UUUAAUUUUCCACCACUUCUGCAAUGUUCUUCUAACUGAGAAGUAGGAGAUGUCAUUUACUAGCAGGUCCUGGCUCCAUACUGCUAACUGUUUAAAGUAGUGGUAGAUUGCCUUCAGUUCUUCGUGGAUGUGACUGUCUGGCAAGGAAUGCUUGUCUUACUGCUGCUCUCAGUUACUCAAAAGGAAGAUCUGGUAUCAACACUGAACACUAGCUUUGGGAAUCCUGCUGUCUCGGAUCAGUAUGGGGAUAUAAGAUUGUGACUUUCCGGAGAUCUGGUAACAUUACACUUCCAGUGCAUUACUAAAACAAAACACAAGAUCCCUGAAAACUGAAAUAUGGUCAAGAAGAAAAACUGUCAAUUAAUUUAAGUGUAAAAGGAAAAUGUCAUGGUAAAGUGGAUUGGCAUGAAGACUGUGGAUUUGGGCAGUCCAGUCAAGGCAGACAAUCACAAAGGGGAAGCAGAGGCCAUGUGAAGUUGCAGGGUCAAACAGUCUCAGGAUAUGGUCUGCAUGUUAGCACUGAGUCAUCCCCGGGGAUCCAGAAGAAUUCAUUUGGAGAAGAAAGCAGAAGAAGCUGCCCUGAGCCACCGCAAGUGAUCAAUCACAAUUACACUAGCAAGGAUGAACACUUAAGAGCCUGGUGCAAACCCCUGUGCUGCUGAAUGCUUCGACGAUGGUAUGCAAGAAAACAGGAAGUUUCAGGAGUCAGUCCUCCUGAGAUGGAGCCCCCAGCACAAGAAAUAAGUGGUCCUGUUGGAGAGAGUCUGGAGGAGGCCAUGAGGAUGCUCAGAAAGCUUAAGCACCUCUUCUUUGAAGGCUGAGGGAGCUGGACUUGUUCAGCUUAUUCCUGCUUGGACAAAUGUUCCUUGUCAACUUCUUGAAAAAUAUGUGGACCAUACUGCAGGCUCUCUGUUGUCACAGCUAGCUGGUGGUGGUGUUCAGUCUAUCAUUUAAAGGUAAGAAUGAGAACAGACAAACUUUUACUUUAAAUAAAUUAUAAGAAGCUUGCUGGCCAGGUUGUGUGGAGAGGUAUUGUUGAAACUAGUUCAAGGAAAAUAUUGUUGUG